CCCUCGGGAUGAAAAAUAUUGGAUUAGUGGCGGACGGGUGAGUAACACGUGAGUAACCUGCCUUUUACACAGGGAUAGCCUCGGGAAACCGGGAUUAAAACCUGAUGAAACUAUCAAAUCACAUGAUUAAGAAAGUUAAAACUCCGGUGGUAAAAGAUGGACUCGCGUCCCAUUAGCUAGUUGGUGAAGGUAACGGCCCACCAAGGCAACGAUGGGUAGCCGGCCUGAGAGGGUGAACGGCCACAUUGGAACUGAGAAACGGUCCAAACUCCUACGGGAGGCAGCAGGA
rnacentral:rRNA from 1 species